GACGAACGCUGGCGGCGUGCCUAAUACAUGCAAGUAGAACGCAGUUGCGAACGGGUGAGUAACGCGUAGGUAACUGCCUCAUAGCGGGGGAUAACUAUUGGAAACGAUAGCUAAUACCGCAUACUGUAAGAUGGACCUGCGUUGGAUUAGCUAGUUGGUGAGGUAAAGGCUCACCAAGGCGACGGUACAUAGCCGGCCUGGGAGGGUGAGCGGCCACACUGGGACUGGGAAACGGCCCAGAAUCCUACGGGAGGCAGCAGUAGGGGAUCCUCGGCAAUGGACGGAAGUCUGACCGAGCAACGCCGCGUGAGUGAAGAAGGUUUUCGGAUCGUAAAGCUCUUUUGUUAGAGAAGCGGUACCUAACCAGAAAGGGACGGCUAACUACGUGCCAGCAGCCGCGGUAAUUC
rnacentral:rRNA from 1 species